rnacentral:rRNA from 1 species
UACGUAGGGUGCAAGCGUUGUCCGGAAUUAUUGGGCGUAAAGAGCUCGUAGGCGGUUUGUCGCGUCUGCUGUGAAAACUCGGGGCUUAACCCCGGGCCUGCAGUGGGUACGGGCAGACUAGAGUGCGGUAGGGGAGAAUGGAAUUCCUGGUGUAGCGGUGGAAUGCGCAGAUAUCAGGAGGAACACCGAUGGCGAAGGCAGUUCUCUGGGCCGUAACUGACGCUGAGGAGCGAAAGCGUGGGGAGCGAACAGG